GUCAGAAACUGACGAUAUUGGAAAGUCGAAAAGAUAUCCGUCUUGGAGCCAUGAAUGCGAAUGUGGGUCCUUUCUCUAUUUAUUGCUGCUUAAAUCAGUCGAGGUCAGAAGAUGAACGACUGAGGUCAGAAGAUGGAUGCUUAAUCCUCGUGUAGGGAUGCUGGCACUGGAAUGACCUGUAAAAUAAGUUUCAAACCGAAGAUUGUGGCUCCAGUGAGGAUCCUCUGACACUCAAGUCAGAAAAACAGAGAAUAAAGGAGCAACAAUGGAUUCUCUGAGAAGAAUUUGAUCGGACUCAUCUGGAUUCUCGGGGUUCUGAUUGUUUAUAUAGAAAGAUGGUAGACAGUUGGAUUGUUAGCUGUGAGAUCGCAUGAUCUUG
rnacentral:lncRNA from 1 species